rnacentral:tRNA from 1 species
GCGACCGUAGCUCAGCUGGUCAGAGCACCUGGUUGUGGUCCAGGGGGUCGGGGGUUCGAGUCCCCUCGGUCGCC